AAAAACUUAACAAAACGAAUUUUAGCUAAGUAACCCGAAACCAGACGAGCUACUCAUGGACAGUUUAUUAGAACCAACUCAUCUAUGUGGCAAAAUAGUGAGAAGAUCCAUAAGUAGAGGUGACAUGCCUAACGAGCCUGGUGAUAGCUGGUUGUCCAGAAAAUGAAUUUUAGUUCAGCUUUAAAGAUACCAAAAAUACAAAUAAAUCCCACUGUAUCUUUAAAAGUUAGUCUCAAAA
rnacentral:rRNA from 1 species